GACGAGGGAUCCUAGCGUUGUUCGGAAUUAUUGGGCGUAAAGCGGGUGUAGGCGGAUCCAUAAGUCAGGUGUGAAAUCCCAGGGCUCAACCCUGGAAGUACACUUGAUACUGUGGAUCUUGAAUGUGGUAGAGGUUACUGGAAUUGUUGGUGUAGUGGUGAAAUACGUAGAUAUCAACAGGAAUACCGGAGGCGAAGGCGAGUAACUGGGCCAACAUUGACGCUGAGAUCCGAAAGUGUGGGGAUCAAACAGG
rnacentral:rRNA from 1 species